rnacentral:lncRNA from 1 species
AUUUAUAGAGAACAAGAGCAAGAGAGCCCAAGCAGGAGGGGCAGAUGGAGAAGGAGAAUCUCAAGCAAACUCCAUGCUGAGCAUGGAGCCUGACACAGGGCUCCAUCUCAGGACAUGAGACCAUGACCUGAGCUGAAACCGAGAGCUGGAUGCUUAACUGACUUUGCCACCCAUGCACUCCAAGGAUGAAUAUAUUUUAAAGGCAUGAGGAGAGUGAAGUACAGAUUUAGAAUCCAUGGAAAUGAGAAUUUCAGGUUAAAAAGAAAAGAAACGAGUAGGAGGCAUUGGAGAGGAUUGGGUUGGACCAUCCUGAGCACUUUGCGGCUUGAUAAAUGGCAUCCUUGGAUGUGCCCCUGCCUUUGACACCACUUGUCCCCACCCUGUGCACCAACAAAGGGGUUAGCUGGAAGGCUUACAAUCUCUGACCAAGGUUGUGGAUAGAUCAAUAUGAGGUAGGCAUAGGCUGACCCUAUGUGUCUCAGUGAUUUAACUGUUUUGUUGUGCAAUCUGCUGAACAAGCCUGGUAACAA